GUGGGGAAUAUUGCGCAAUGGGGGAAACCCUGACGCAGCAACGCCGCGUGAAGGAAGAAGGUUUUCGGAUCGUAAACUUCUUUGAUUGGGGACGAUAAUGACGGUACCCGAGGAACAAGCCACGGCUAACUACGUGCCAGCAGCCGCGGUAAUACGUAGGUGGCGAGCGUUGUCCGGAAUUACUGGGUGUAAAGGGCGUGUAGGCGGGAAGACAAGUCAGAUGUGAAACCCCACGGCUUAACUGUGGGACUGCAUCUGAAACUGUUUUUCUUGAGUACUGGAGAGGGAAGUGGAAUUCCUAGUGUAGCGGUGAAAUGCGUAGAUAUUAGGAGGAACACCAGUGGCGAAGGCGGCUUCCUGGACAGAAACUGACGCUGAGGCGCGAAAGCGUGGGGAGCAAACAGGAUUAGAAACCCGAGUAGUCC
rnacentral:rRNA from 1 species